GGAUUCCCCUAGUAACUGCGAGUGAAGCGGGAAAAGCUCAAAUUUAAAAUCUGGCAGUCUUUGGCUGUCCGAGUUGUAGUCUGGAGAAGUGUCUUCCGCGCUGGACCGUGUACAAGUCUCUUGGAAUAGAGCAUCAUAGAGGGUGAGAAUCCCGUCUUUGACACGGACUGCCAGUGCUUUGUGAUGCGCUCUCAAAGAGUCGAGUUGUUUGGGAAUGCAGCUCAAAAUGGGUGGUAAAUUCCAUCUAAAGCUAAAUAUUGGCGAGAGACCGAUAGCGAACAAGUACCGUGAGGGAAAGAUGAAAAGCACUUUGGAAAGAGAGUUAAACAGUACGUGAAAUUGCUGAAAGGGAAACACUUGAAGUCAGUCGCGUUAUGCAGAACUCAACCUUGCUUUUUGCUUGGUGCAUUUUCUGUAUGACGGGCCAGCAUCGAUUUUGACCGUCGGAUAAGGACUGUAUGAAUGUGGCACCUCUCCGGGUGCGGGUUAUAGCCUACGGCCAUCGCAUACGUSGGUUGGGAUCGAGGAACGCAGCGCGCCGCAAGGUGGGGCCUUMUUGGUCACAUUCGCGCUUAGGAUGCUGGCGUAAUGGCUUUAAAUGACCCGUCUUGAAACACGGACCAAGNAGUCUAACAUGCCUGCGAGUGUUKGGGUGGAAAACCCGAGCGCGUAAUGAAAGUGAAAG
rnacentral:rRNA from 1 species